UGGCUUGGCUUGGCAUGGUUUAGUCAAGGGUGAUACCUUGUUUUAAUAAAACUUGGUCUCACCAGGUGGAUAAAGACAUAGAAAGUGACUGCAAGAAUGCAGUUCACAAAUGCCCAAAAAUGAGUAAUAAAACAUUUGUACAUGAUGACAACUUGAUAUUUCCUGAGUUCAAAACUUCACAUCUUUUUGGCUUCAAAACUUUCAGAAGAAUCAGAGCAAUAGUUCUCUCUGUACACUUGAGUGCUCUGUGUUCUUGUUUUCAAAUUGCAAUUGGAUAUUGGGGACGAACCAACUUCACCACUUCUCUUAUAAAGGUGGAGACUGAUUAUUGAAUUUCUCGAAUAUUGUGUUGGUACUCAUCAUAUACGACAGAUGAAGCAUGCCAAAUGAAAGUAAAGUGUGUUGCAACCCUUGAUAAAGGGGGUGCGGUCCAUAAGGGACAACCAUAUGCCAUGGUAUGAACUGUCAUGAACUUUCUUACAACAUUUGAACUCCUUUGCUAGUCUGAUUGUCAAUUUGCAUCAAGUUUUCUAUGACGUUUAUAAACUCUCAUAGUGAUCUGACUUCAGUCCUAGUUUGCAUUACAUUUUUGGUUUCAAUCACCAUGUUAUCAGUCCAAGUAGGCCAUAUGCGUUAUUGCUAAUUACUCUUAUAAGGAGUUUAAAUAUAUUUUUGUUAAUUCCUCGGAGUUCCUGUGCACGGUUUCAAAAUGUUCUCUUUUUGGGGAUA